rnacentral:rRNA from 1 species
UGCAAGUCGAGCGGAAACGAGUUAUCUGAACCUUCGGGGAACGAUAACGGCGUCGAGCGGCGGACGGGUGAGUAAUGCCUAGGAAAUUGCCCUGAUGUGGGGGAUAACCAUUGGAAACGAUGGCUAAUACCGCAUGAUGCCUACGGGCCAAAGAGGGGGACCUUCGGGCCUCUCGCGUCAGGAUAUGCCUAGGUGGGAUUAGCUAGUUGGUGAGGUAAGGGCUCACCAAGGCGACGAUCCCUAGCUGGUCUGAGAGGAUGAUCAGCCACACUGGAACUGAGACACGGUCCAGACUCCUACGGGAGGCAGCAGUGGGGAAUAUUGCACAAUGGGCGCAAGCCUGAUGCAGCCAUGCCGCGUGUGUGAAGAAGGCCUUCGGGUUGUAAAGCACUUUCAGUCGUGAGGAAGGUGGUGUMGUUAAUAGCUGCAUUAUUUGACGUUAGCGACAGAAGAAGCACCGGCUAACUCCGUGCCAGCAGCCGCGGUAAUACGGAGGGUGCGAGCGUUAAUCGGAAUUACUGGGCGUAAAGCGCAUGCAGGUGGUUUGUUAAGUCAGAUGUGAAAGCCCGGGGCUCAACCUCGGAAUAGCAUUUGAAACUGGCAGACUAGAGUACUGUAGAGGGGGGUAGAAUUUCAGGUGUAGCGGUGAAAUGCGUAGAGAUCUGAAGGAAUACCGGUGGCGAAGGCGGCCCCCUGGACAGAUACUGACACUCAGAUGCGAAAGCGUGGGGAGCAAACAGGAUUAGAUACCCUGGUAGUCCACGCCGUAAACGAUGUCUACUUGGAGGUUGUGGCCUUGAGCCGUGGCUUUCGGAGCUAACGCGUUAAGUAGACCGCCUGGGGAGUACGGUCGCAAGAUUAAAACUCAAAUGAAUUGACGGGGGCCCGCACAAGCGGUGGAGCAUGUGGUUUAAUUCGAUGCAACGCGAAGAACCUUACCUACUCUUGACAUCCAGAGAACUUUCCAGAGAUGGAUUGGUGCCUUCGGGAACUCUGAGACAGGUGCUGCAUGGCUGUCGUCAGCUCGUGUUGUGAAAUGUUGGGUUAAGUCCCGCAACGAGCGCAACCCUUAUCCUUGUUUGCCAGCGAGUAAUGUCGGGAACUCC